AGUGAACGCUGGCGGUAGGCCUAACACAUGCAAGUCGAACGGCAGCACAGUAAUAGCUUGCUCUUACGGGUGGCGAGUGGCGGACGGGUGAUGAAUACAUCCGUAUCUACUUUUUCGUGGGGGCUAACGUAGGGAAACUUACGCUAAUACCGCAUACGACCUACGGGUGAAAGCAUCGGAUCUUCGGACCUUGCGCGAUUGUAUGAGCCGAUGUCGGAUUAGCUAGUUGGCGGGGUAAAGGCCCACCAAGGCGACGAUCCGUAGCUGGUCUGAGAGGAUGAUCAGCCACACUGGAACUGAGACACGGUCCAGACGCCUACGGGAGGCAGCAGUGGGGAAUAUUGGGCAAUGGGCGCAAGCCUGAUCCAGCCAUACCGCGUGGGUGAAGAAGGCCUUCGGGUUGUAAAGCCCUUUUGUUGGGAAAGAAAAGCAGCAGGUUAAUACCCCGCUGUUCUGACGGUACCAAAAGAAUAAGCACCGGCUAACUUCGUG
rnacentral:rRNA from 1 species